ensembl:lncRNA
CCCCUACUCGUGCACUGGAAGAGCUAAUUUCGGCGAUCACGCGGUGACCAAUCAACGCCCAGAACGCUUCCGUGAGGCCAUACCCCAAACUCUCAGCCCAUCUCGCUCCGUAGCCGUCCCCCCCUUGGAUGUAACCAUGUGGAAACGGAGGGGUGGAAUUGGAAACGAGACGCGGACACUUGCAGCUUAAUACCGGUGUCCACUUGUACUCAAAUGCAGCGAGAAGACGGAAUGGAGCGAAUGGGGAUGGACCCAGUGGUGCCUUGAGUGCCUCCGCUAGGAACUCUGGUCGAUGCCUGAUGCUGUAUAAAGAAUAGGUCUCAAUGGGGAAAGCCAGCCACAGUCCCCCAGCGGGCAAGAGAGAGAAAACUUCGGACUGGGAUCUGAAGGUCUGGAGUGGGGAAGGCCUCUGCCAUUGACUGCGAGUAAUAUGUGAGAAGGACAACAGGACUUUUCAUUCUGUUACGAAAGGAGGGGCCUUGGGGACCCAAGGACACCGCGUAGUGAAAGCUUGUUGCUGAACCAUGAAAGAUGCCAGGAUUCUUGGCCUCUGGAGGAGAAGACUUCAAUCUGGGGCCAGAGACAAGGCUUGAUGGCUCAGAGCUUUUGUGUAAUAAAGUUUCAUUAAAGUAUAGAAGAGAUAGAGAAAGCUUCUGACAUAGACAUCAGAAGGGGGUGCAGAAAGAGUGCCCUCCUGCUAGUCUUUAGCUGGAUGUUAUAUAGCUGCUAGCAGUCUGCUAAUUAAAGAAAGGAAAUGUCUCAAAACUCAGAGAAUGUCACCAGGCCCCUCACCCACAACAUGCAUUUUGGGAUAAACAUUGGCAGCAGGUGAGUCCUCCCAGGCCAUAAAACAAUUGACUUGAAUCUUGAAGAAAGGCAUAUUUCCAUAUUUCUGAGCCUUUAGGCAGAACCGCCUUGAAAACAGAGUCUAGGGUAAAUGCACAGAAAAUUAACAUAGCUUAAGACAAGUAUUUCCAUGAGAAAAAUGCAUUGGUUAGCCCAAGGUUUGAGAAAAGUUAAGUUCAAGUCAAAACAGGUGUCAUUAUGGCAACACAAAAUUUUAGGAGAAUUCUCUCUUUAUAUUUGUAUAGAAAAGGGGAAAAAAUAGAACACUAAUUUGUUUCCUCCUGCCGCUUAAGAGACAGAUAUAAAAAUGUCCGACACUUGCAGCCUGUUUCCUUUGUUUGGAGACCCCUGGCCUUCCUUCCUGUUACCCUCCCAUUCCCCUCUUUCCUUUUAGGAGAAUUAUGUUGCCUAGGGAAAAGGGCGUCGUUCUCAUUCCAUUCCUGCUUCCGAGCUGAGAAGGGGCGUUGUCCCUAACUUGGUGAGACAACAGAUUCUCCUAACCCUCAUAUUGAGGGUCUCUGAUCCAGGGGUCCCAAGUAGUAGCUGGAGGAAGCUGCAGCAGUCACAGGAGUUGGAGCAACCAUUUGUAACUUAAAAGCCUUCAUGCGACUAGAAACAAAUCUAGCUACACAGUUACAGGUGCAGGGAGCAAACAGCAAAAACAGAACA